CACAACAUCACCGUACAGCUGGAAUCAACUACAGUAACGCCUUCCAAAAUAGUCAGAAAUCUAGGGGAUGGACUUUACUGAAAAUUAACUACAGAGAGCUUCCAGAGCGACAGUGAGGCACAACGCACUGACCACUGCCUGCAUCGUCUUCUUCUUAGGAUGGACGAAAUGGCAAAUAAACUGCUAUCAACCGCAAUCCAAUCAAACAGCGAGUAUAAUUUUUCUUUUGAAGUCUAUUUUGAACACAACUGACUCUUCACGCUCUCUUCAGAAGUUAACCACUAACCAAUCACUGUUUGCAUGAGCACGCGCUGAAAUACGGAGCUGCAGAUGUUAACUCUCUUGUAUGUGCACCACUUUGAUUGAUACAAGGCUCCCAUCAGAAAGCUGGAACAUACUGCCUUCAGGGAUUGUAUAUGGAGUGCUGUUCCUGUCUCCAGCCUGAUCUUCUCUUUCACAAGGAUAAUCUUCAUCCCUCCUUUCCUCUGUACCACUCUGCUUAAUGUGCCCUGAACUUGCAUCAUCAUCAUCCUCAUCUUCAUGGUGGGAUAGCUUCAAGAUGGCUCCGAGUAUGGCUGCUGCACUGUGAGCUCCGACCCAAUAUUGCAGUUUUUUGUUUGUUUUGUCUACAAUUCUUGUGUUUUUCAUCUUUGAUGUCAUCUGCCUUAUUGUCUAGAUAGACAACCACUUUUGGACAUUGGUUCUUCAAUAGCACACCGAAAACCGGACUUUGAAUACCUCAAUGCCGACCUGCUGUUUUCAAACACGACAGCGGAGCCCUUUGUCUGGAAACGCAGCGUAGAAAAGGAGAAGGAGAGCCGGCGAUCUCGUCAGGCUAAGACAUUGCCCAAAUCAACCCCCGCUACCCAGCAUUCUACUGGCAAAUGUUCAGUCUCUGGACAACAAGCUCUGCGAGCUGAGAACGUGGAUCUCUUUCCAGCGAGAGACGAGGGACUGCUGCAUUAUCUGCCUUACAGAAACUUGGAUAUCUGUGGAGAUUCCAGACUCAGCCAUCGAACCUGUGGGGUUCUCUGUGCACCGAGCGGAUAGAGCGAAAGACCUCUCAGGUAAAAGCAGAGGUGGUGGUGCAUGUUUUAUGAUCAACAAAUCCUGGUGUGAUCAGAGGAACGUACAUUCUAUCAAGUCUUUCUGCUCCCCUGAUCUGGAACUUCUCAUGCUUCUGUGUCGACCAGUGUAUUUUUAUUGUAUACAGUCUUCUUAUUUUGUGUAUACUGUAUAUUGCAUAUUAUUUUUUAUUGUGUACAGUAUUCUUAUUUUGUGUAUACUGUAUAUUAUUAGGUGUAUAUUAAAUUGUGUUAUGUGUAAAUCAGAUGUUUAUUGUAAUUGUCAUACUGAUAUGUUGCUUGGAACUGCACCCAAGACUUUCACCCACUGUUGCACUUGUGUAUAUGGUUGAGUGACAAUAAAGGGAUUUGAUUUUUAUUUGAUCUU